AGUGAACGCUGGCGGUAGGCCUAACACAUGCAAGUCGAACGGCAGCACAGUAAGAGCUUGCUCUUACGGGUGGCGAGUGGCGGACGGGUGAGGAAUACAUCGGAAUCUACUUUUUCGUGGGGGAUAACGUAGGGAAACUUACGCUAAUACCGCAUACGACCUACGGGUGAAAGCAGGGGAUCUUCGGACCUUGCGCGAUUCAAUGAGCCGAUGUCGGAUUAGCUAGUUGGCGGGGUAAAGGCCCACCAAGGCGACGAUCCGUAGCUUGUCUGAGAGGAUGAUCAGCCACACUGGAACUGAGACACGGUCCAGACUCCUACGGGAGGCAGCAGUGGGGAAUAUUGGACAAUGGGCGCAAGCCUGAUCCAGCCAUACCGCGUGGGUGAAGAAGGCCUUCGGGUUGUAAAGCCCUUUUGUUGGGAAAGAAAAGCAGCAGGUUAAUCCCCCGCUGUUCUGACGGUACCCAAAGAAUAAGCACCGGCUAACUUCGUG
rnacentral:rRNA from 1 species